CGGCGAGUGAAGCGGCAAUAGCUCAAAUUUGAAAGCUGGCGUCUUUGGCGUCCGCGUUGUAAUUUGUAGAGGAUGCUUCGGCGAGGGCUCCGGUCUAAGUUCCCUGGAACGGGACGUCAUAGAGGGUGAGAAUCCCGUAUGUGAUCGGUUGCCUAAGCCAUGUGAAGCUCCUUCGACGAGUCGAGUUGUUUGGGAAUGCAGCUCUAAAUGGGAGGUAAAUUUCUUCUAAAGCUAAAUACCGGCCAGAGACCGAUAGCGCACAAGUAGAGUGAUCGAAAGAUGAAAAGCACUUUGGAAAGAGAGUUAAAAAGUACGUGAAAUUGUUGAAAGGGAAGCGCUUGCAACCAGACUCGUCCGCAGUUGCUCAGCCGGUCUCUUGACCGGCGUACUCUUCUGCGGCCGGGCCAGCAUCAGUUCGGGCGGCCGGAUAAAGGCCUCGGGAAUGUAGCACCCUUCGGGGUGUGUUAUAGCCCGGGGUGGAAUGCGGCCAGCCUGGACUGAGGAUCUCGCUUCGGCUAGGAUGCUGGCGUAAUGGUUGUAAGCGGCCCGUCUUGAAACACGGACCAAGGAGUCUAACAUCUAUGCGAGUGUUUGGGUGUCAAACCCAUGCGCGUAAUGAAAGUGAACGGAGGUGGGAACCCUCACGGGUGCACCAUCGACCGAUCCUGAUGUCUUCGGAUGGAUUUGAGUAUGAGCAUAGCUGUUGGGACCCGAAAGAUGGUGAACUAUGCCUGAAUAGGGUGAAGCCAGAGGAAACUCUGGUGGAGGCUCGCAGCGGUUCUGACGUGCAAAUCGAUCGUCAAAUUUGGGUAUAGGGGCGAAAGACUAAUCGAACCAUC
rnacentral:rRNA from 2 species